GUUCCCAUCGACACCGGCACGACUGUAAAUGGUCGUAGACGUAUUGUAGGGCAGCGUCCAGCUGGUGUCGCGCAGGACGAAUGAGAGGGCGGACAGGUGUGUGAGGACAGGUAUGUGAGGACAGUCAGGGGCUCCUCGGUGCUUGGAGGUCAGGUUGGGACUGCCUGGAUUUGAGCGCCGUGUCCUAUUUGUGAGGAGAGCAAAGCCUGCCCAGUCUGAAUAAUUUGGUAGGAGGAGUUCCCCCUCUCACUCACUCACUCUCUCCCUUUUCCCUCACUCCGUGUCUGUCUCUCUCGCCCUCUCUCUCUCCGCCGCCACUGGUUUCUAUUCAGCAACAAAGAGCUGUCACUCUUCCCUCAAAAACUCCCGACUCUGGCUGCGGGAAGGACACUACUUCAUGGCCAAACCCUUGUUAACCUGGAGAAGAGGUGACUGACUAUAUCACAUCAUUCCAUUUAUCAUGUGUGUGAAGGGGCGCCUACAGAGGGAACCUAAAAUACCUCCAGCCUGGGAAAUCACCAGCAUUUAACGCACGGAGCCUGACGUGCUCUUAACAGCACAACGUGCAGCUUCUGCUGGACGCGUUCGGCUUUGCGGAGGCGGCUGUGACGCCACAAAAAAGAUCUGUGUCAGUUUUAAAGGGUGCGAAAACUCUGUGACGCAAAUUAAAAAGAAGCAGACCGAACGACUCCGGCGUCCGGCGAACCGGAGGCCAAAUGUGGUGACAACAACCCGAAACGGGGCGGUUCAAAGUCUGCGCCGUGACAAACACAGCUCGGGCCUGAGUCCUUGCAGCCCCGGUCCCUGCGAGGUCAACGAGCGGAGAAUCUGCCACAAAACAACGAGACCGACUGGAUCUGCGGUUCAGUCCCAUUAAUAGAUUUACUGGGGCUCAGGGGGGUUUGCAGGUGUGGAUGCUUCUUCUCAAGACGUGUUACAUUAUCGUGUCCACCGCCACCCCCACAUACACCCCCCCCUCCCAACACACACACACACACACACACACACACACACACACACACACACACACACACACACACACACACACACACACACACACACCGCCACCCCCAGCAUGGAGUUGUGUUGGCUUUAAUUGGAGGCCCCUUGAUAGCGGCGCUAUAAGACGAGGCUUGAACACCUCCCGGACGGACUGGACCCGCAGCUGUUCGGAAAAGCCGGACGUUAAUUUGCGCUCCGCCGGUGUCUCGGCACCUUCCACCGAGCGGUGAAAGAGGCUCAAAAAGGACACGCGGAAUUCAUUUCACCUGGACAAAGACGCCCUGACAGGAAUGAUCAGUGCAGCUCUGUGUGAUAUUAAUCUAACUGUUAUCCCCCCCCCGCUCUCUCCCCCACCGAAAAUUAAAUAAAAGCCUUCGCAAACCCUGGCUUCUUGUGUUUAUUCGUAAUACGCGCAUGUUCGUGUUUGUUAUAAAGACGUCUAUCACGCAGUUAAAGAAUACUGUUAUGACCCGUUGCCUCCAGCACUGACAUUUGAUUUCACUGAAGAGGUUUUUAG